rnacentral:lncRNA from 1 species
AAAUAAUCAAAAACCCUCAAAUUUCAUCUCUCUGUUUGAAGAAUCCGACGCCAUUUUUCCAUGGCGGUAGUGCUCGGCAACGUUUCACCGUUCCUAGACCUCUCCACCUCGCCGCCUCGGCCCAUAAUUCCCGACCGCCGCCUCCGCCCCUUCCCCUCCGACGCGCUCCUGAACCUCUUCAACAAAGACCUCCACCAGAACCCUAAUUUCCACGCGGCGUUCGAAUCGGUGUUCGAUAACCGGGAGAGGCACUCGAACAAGCGGAAAUCGAACC